rnacentral:rRNA from 1 species
GAUGAACGCUGGCGGCGUGCCUAAUACAUGCAAGUCGAGCGAACAGACGAGGAUCUUGCUCCUCUGACGUUAGCGGCGGACGGGUGAGUAACACGUGUAUAACCUACCUAUAAGACUGGGAUAACUUCGGGAAACCGGCUCUAACACCGGAUAAUAUAUUGAACCGCAUGGUUCUAUAGUGAAAGACGGUUUUGCUGUCACUUAUAGAUGGUUCCGCGCCGCAUUAGCUAGUUGGUAAGGUAACGGCUUACCAAGGCGACGAUGCGUAGCCGACCUGAGAGGGUGAUCGGCCACACUGGAACUGAGACACGGUCCAGACUCCUACGGGAGGCAGCAGUAGGGAAUCUUCCGCAAUGGGCGAAAGCCUGACGGAGCAACGCCGCGUGAGUGAUGAAGGUCUUCGGAUCGUAAAACUCUGUUAUUAGGGAAGAACAAAUGUGUAAGUAACUAUGCACGUCUUGACGGUACCUAAUCAGAAAGCCACGGCUAACUACGUG